rnacentral:rRNA from 1 species
AUUGAACGCUGGCGGCAGGCUUAACACAUGCAAGUCGAGCGAGCGGCGGACGGGUGAGUAAUGUCUGGGAAACUGCCUGAUGGAGGGGGAUAACUACUGGAAACGGUAGCUAAUACCGCAUACCCUCAGAUGUGCCCAGAUGGGAGUAGAUAGUAGGUGGGGUAAUGGCGCACCUAGGCGACGAUCCAUAGCUGGUCUGAGAGGAUGACCAGCCACACUGGAACUGAGAGACGGUCCAGACGCCUACGGGAGUCAGCAGUGGGGAAUAUUGCACAAUGGGCGCAAGCCUUAUUCAGCCAUGCCGCGUGUGUGAAGAAGGCCUUCGGGUUGUAAAGCACUUUCAGCGAGGAGGCGUGACUCGCAGAAGAAGCACCGGCUAACUCCGUGCCAGACGCCGCGGUAAUUC